CCUACGGGAGGCAGCAGUGAGGAAUAUUGGUCAAUGGUCGGAAGGCUGAACCAGCCAAGUCGCGUGAAGGAAGAAGGAUCUGUGUUUUGUAAACUUCUUUUAUAGGGGAAUAAAGGUAUCCACGUGUGGAUAUUUGCAUGUACCUUAUGAAUAAGCAUCGGCUAACUCCGUGCCAGCAGCCGCGGUAAUACGGAGGAUGCGAGCGUUAUCCGGAUUUAUUGGGUUUAAAGGGUGCGUAGGUUGUUUUUUAAGUCAGCGGUGAAAGUUUGUGGCUCAACCAUAAAAUUGCCGUUGAAACUGGAAGACUUGAGUGUGUUUGAGGUAGGCGGAAUGCGUGGUGUAGCGGUGAAAUGCAUAGAUAUCACGCAGAACUCCGAUUGCGAAGGCAGCUUACUAAGCCAAAACUGACGCUGAAGCACGAAAGCGUGGGUAUCAAACAGGAUUAGAUACCCGAGUAGUC
rnacentral:rRNA from 1 species